GUGACUCAGUUUCCAAUGAAGGAGUGAUGGACAACAUGUUCCGCUUGCUAUAGAAUUUAUCCAUGUUGAGUGUCGACACAGACUAAUUUACACGCUCAUCGCAUAAGGUCGUCUUCGGUGUUUAUGAGAUGAUGAACAUCUCGACCAAAGCUAUGCAGAAGAUUGGAUCAGCCUUGACUUCCAUGAUUCCGAGGAUGGAGAGCCACAGUAAUCCCCCCUGCAGCUUUAACGGGGAGCGUCAGUGUGAGGACGGGUCGUGUAUACAGGCCGUGGACCUCUGUCCGGAGGAACAGCUGAUGAACCAGAACACGAUCCUCAUCAUGAUAGUUGUUGGACUAGCUGUCGUCAUAUUCCUCAUCGUCUUGUACUGUUUCCAGCAGCGUCAAAGGGAAGGCAACAGACGUCCGAGCUCUAUGACAGAGACAAAUCGUGACGAGGAAGACCAUGCAUCACUAUACAUGCCACCACCCACCUAUGAGGAGGUGGUCACUACAGACUUAUAUCCCCCCACACCACAAAUGAGGCUCGCAAGGGGGAGGAUCACAUCUAUUGAGGAGCCCCCUAUGACUCCUCCCCCCAACUAUGACGCAGCCUUAUCCAUUCUUGCCAGAAGCCACGAGUCAGUGUUUGGAAAGAUUCCCUUCAUGAGACGCAAGUCAUCAUGUGUAUCUCGCCGGAGUUUCUCUGUGGACAAUGUAAACAAUGUGGAGCUAGCCCCACCCCCUGUCAGUCCUAACGUGACUACAAUUACAGAACAGGACAGUGGUAGUUGUGAUAAAACAUCCAUAGAGGUCAUCACAAACCGGUGACCUCCGUGGAAGCCAAUGUUGGCAUAGAAACGUAUCCAGUAGCCAUCUCAAUGUGUUGUGUUGGAAGACUUUAUCCUUCAUCCUCUGUGUAAGAUUGAAAUACAUCUUUAAAUCUUGAACAAAUUUAUUUCACAUUGCUAUGUAUUGACAAGGACUGGAUUUUUUAACAGCUGAGCUUAUUAUAUCAAUUAUAUCAAUAUAUUCAUUUCUUGAUCAGACCAGUAGCAUUGUCUUCAGUAUGGAGGAACAUUUGACAAUGGCAGAUACAUUAACAAUGGGAUUAUUUCACUGGCAUUACGUAAUAUUUAAAUCAUGAAACUUUGGUCAUGUGUAAGCUUGUUAUUCUAGCCACUGCUAAUCUGCUAGUCACAUGGUGGCACUAUUUAGCCACAUUGACGGAACAGGAAGGUGGCACUAUCGAGCCACAUUGACGGAACAGAAAGGUGGCUUUAAUAAAAAUUAAGCUUGCCUGUAUUAUGACAUUUUGAAGGUGGACAAGCAAUAGCAAUACCUGGAUAAUGUGCAAAGAUCUGACUGUCUGACAAAGUCAUUUUGUUUAUGUAUGUUUGGUCAGACAGACAGUAGGAUUAAUUAACUGUCAGUGUGACACUCAGCUAUUGACCAAUGUGUAUUAAACACAUUAUAAAUGUGUACACACACGAUAAAAUGUAUGUACAGUGAGUGAUGCCAGACUUGCUACGGUGAGUGCAAUAGAGAUGUGUAAUAUAGCUGUGUAAGUCCGUGUAUUGUGGUGUUUGAUGAAGAGUUAUGUUCCUGUAUAUUGUCUUGCGUGUCCAUUGUCCUGUGUGUAUAUUUAGUGUUGUACCAGUUGUAUUGAUAUGUUUUGUUCUAUAUUUAACUGCCAUACAGAGGAUUGUCAUAUGUUACUUGUAAAGUAAACAUAGACUAUUUAUUCUCACAAUAGAAUUUAAAUCUUCUGCGCAUGCUUUCGUUUAUAAGAUGAUCAAUUUUGUCAUUUGGUGCUAUACUGUAAAACAGUCGAGACUUGAUCAGUUUUGGGAAUCAAGAAUUUGUAUGUGUACUUAAUUUCGUGUUGACUUAAACUGUAUGAAAUAAUUAAGUGUUGUCCUAACAGUUGUUUAGAGAUUAUUGUAAUGAUCGAUAGAUAUUUGUGAGAUUUUGGAGUUAGAAUUUUAAAAUAUAAAUUUAGAAUAUUUUAACAUGCCUCAGACAACUCUUGAAGUUGGUCACUGUAUAAACAUAUAACUGACAGGUUAUAUAUCUUUUAUUCUCAGGUUUAAAUAAAUUGGUCACAAAAUGUUUAUUUUUGUUACAAGUUUAAACAAAUAAUCGGUGAUCAUUCAAUAAUUUUCCAUAAGGCAGUUAGCUUAAAUAUUCCCCUACAAACAAGUAAUGUUAAUUUAUAAAACUGUGUAAACAAGGCAUAUAUCAAACAAGGUAGAUAAGGACACUGAUUAUUGUCACAAAUAGUUAGAUACUGUCUUCUGCAGCACUUUAAUAUUGAUACGUUAUGCCCUUGUGCCAUAGGUAAUCAUGUGAUUUUAUGUUUUAUCUUCAAGAUAGUCACGUCAUAAUUUUCUCUGUUUAAUAUUCUGGUUUUACUAGACAUUGAACUUCAAAAGAAGCGACUUAUCUAUAUACAUUUAUAAACAAUUAAUUACAUCUAUCAGAUUUAUCGUCCUGUCACUCUGUACAGGUUUACAGAUUUAUGUUGGUGUCCAUGUUUUUGUAAAUUGACCACAGUCACAAAGAACACAAAAAUGACCAGCCAAGAUUGACCCUGGUGUAUAACAUUAGUGGUCAACUUUUAUACAAAUCACAAAACUUCCAGACCAUGGUUGACCAUAGUUUAAAGGCCAUGUUAAUUUUUCCAUUUUCUACUCUUCUUGGCUUACAAGGUCACUUGCCUGUGUACUGGAAACAUACCCGUGUUACACAGGUUCUAUCCUGAUCUUGUCUAAAAGAAAUCUAUAGGAAGUGAUACACACAGUACUGCUGAUCACUGCUGGCCCUGUUUGGCUCCGAGGUAUAACUAAUUUUGAUAAUCUUGUGACACAUUCUUAAUGACUCAUUAGUUAUAAGGAGAGGGUUGUAGGACAAUACCGGUUGAUGGUUAUUGCUGAUUAUCAGGCAAAAUUAGAUUCCUUUCAAGCUUACAUAUGUGUGUAUCAUAGUGCUGUUUAUAUAUUUAAUGUUCAAUGUAAGUAACACUGAUACUCAUAAUAGGCUAUCUAGCUAGGCCCAUAUAGAUUAACUUAUCUGUCAGGGUACACUGUUGUACUUAAGUUAAUUAUCACACAUUACAUGUGAAAUUAUUUUUGUAACUUAAAAAUCUGAUUUUAUCAGAAUUGAAAAAAUGAAUGACAAUCAAGUUUUAAUAAAGUAGAUUAGCAUUGGCAUAGCUGAUGGUCAAUUAUUUAAAACUGUUUUCACAUUUAUUUUAUUGAGGAGGAACGGAGAGUUAAAUAUCUC
rnacentral:misc_RNA from 1 species